rnacentral:lncRNA from 1 species
GGCGUUGUGCGGGUAAGACGUGUGGUCCUGUGCUGAAGGAAGAACCAAACCAGCGUAUCCUAACAGGUCCUGUACUGAAGGAAGAACCAAACCAGCGUAUCCUAACAACCCCCAACCUGCGGCAGGAAAUUGGCUCUACUUGCACUGGAUAAAAGUAAAAUUUUAAGGUCCUGUGCUGAAGGAAGAACCAAACCAGCGUAUCCUAACAGGUCCUGUACUGAAAGAAGAACCAAACCAGCGUAUCCUAACAACCCCCAACCUGCGGCAGGAAAUUGGCUCUACUUGCACUGGAUAAAAGUAAAAUUUUAAGGUCCUGUCACUACUGAAGGGAGAGCUAAACCAGCGUGUUCUAGCUCACAAACCUGUGGCAUGAAACGCUCUUGCAAUAGAAGACACCAACUGUCGCGCUGCACCAUCCACGGAGGAAUUGGACCCUGCCUCGCUACCAGCUCUGCCCUGACAACGCGUUGCCAUCCAGAGGGACACGCUGCAUCUUCCACGGAGGAAUUGGAACCUGCCUCGCACCAGCUCUGCCAUCCAGGGAGGGAAGACGCAUUGCUUCGUAUCAACUGCCUGACAAACGUGCUGUCAUUCAGGGAGAGGAAAGACUACCUCGCUGCACCUUCCACGGAGGAGUUGGACGCUGCCUCGCACCAGCUGUCCUGGUAACGUGGUGCCAUCCAGGGAGGGAGGACAGACUACAUCGCUUCCUCUAACCAAACCUAAUCAAUACGUGUUGCCAAUCACUUGUGAUGUUUCUUCCAUCUAAUGUGAAUGUACCCACAAGUGUAAUACUAUUCCUUCCAUCUAAUGUGAAUGUAUCACUAUUGUAAUGUUAUUAUUCCUACUAUCUAAUGUGAAUGUACCCACAGGUGUUAAUGUUAUUCGUUCUGUCUAAUGUGAAUGUACCCACUUAAGUGUAAUGUUAUUAUUCCUUCCACUUAAGUGUAAUGUUAUUCCUUCCAUCUAAUGUGAAUGUACCCACAGGUGUAAUGUUAUUCCUUCUCUCUAAUGUGAAUGUACCCACAUAAGUGUAAUGUUAUUAUUCCUUCCAUCUAAUGUGAAUGUACCCACAUAAGUGUAAUAUUAUUCCUUCCCAUGUUCUGCGGUGUACUCGCAUAACUGGUGUUAGUACUUCAUAAUAAAUCAUGAUUUAAGAAAA